UAUUAUGAACAGCAAUGUCUAAGUGCACCUUCGUAAUAGGAUUCCCGGCCGCAAUAAUCUUCCAGAAACGAGAUCGUAUUAGAGAAUUACAGUUCCAAAUACCCAGUCAAACAAAGUACAUGCAGAAACUGAUUAAACGAGUAGAUUAUGAGUGAGAAAUUACUUUCUAAACCAAUAUCUUUGUGGGGAUUUGUGAAGCGCUGGAAAUUAAAGCCGCAGGUGACUGAAACGGAUCAUGUGAAAAGGAUCAAAGGAAUCGAACGGAAGGUUAUUCAAUAUUUGACCUUUGCUUUGAAAGCUCACCGCUUGAUAUAGAACUUCAAGGAAGUGAAGAUUCGUGGAGAGGAAUUUCCUGGAGCUGAUUAUAAAGGAGAAUGCCUUAUGGCAGAAUAUUCAGAAAAUGUACAGAACCCAUUAAGAUAUGGUCACUCAAAAACACUAAAUAUAGGAAAAUAUAGGAAAGUAUAUCAAAAGGAGUAACGCGUACAGGAAGAGCAACUAUUAUGAAGAAGAAUGUCUUAUGACAAGAUUCAGAAAAAGUACAGAACCUCUCUUAGGACGUGGUAACUGACUGGCCAUUCAGAAAUACUAAACACAGGAAAAUCUCAAGGAAGUGUAUCAAAAGGCGUGAUUAUGAGAAGAGCAUCCAUGUCCAUAUCGUUCAGAAACCAUGCAAGAAAUACCGCGUUCACCGAAGUGAGUAAUAGCAAGAAUCAGUGAGCCUAAGGUUAACGGUGGCGGCCCCAAGAAUUUAAGAACGAAAAAGCUGACACUGAGACUUCAUUCGAUUGGCUGCUACGUAGACCAUGUGACCUACCAUAUAAGGAGAUGGUGGAGAGGAAUAGAUGAGGUGGUGUAUCAACAGCUGCUCAGGUGUCCAUUGAGGUCUACUAUACCGUCUUCAUCCGCGCCCUUGGUGUAAGCAGGGUUGCUGAACAUCAUUUGUCCACCUUCGUAAAACACGUUGUCUGGAAUAUCUUUUAUUGGCUCUAAAUUAAAACAAAAAUAUAGACCAUAUGAAAAAGGGCAUGUCCUUUGAGAUACAUUCGUUCAUCAGUAGAAGUCAAUAAUGCUUUCAUUAGAAAGAGUAUAUGGAAAUUAGUGAUCUUCCAAAAUUUUAGUGUAGUAGCAUUAAAUGAUAAAAAGCUACAGCUGUUUGAAAUUAGAAAGGUUUGUAUGGAAACAACAACCAAGGGCCUACCAGCUUCGCCAUCAUGUUUUUGGUACAUUUCAAAUGCUUUUAACUCUUCAGGGAUUUAAUAUAUGACAACAGAACUUUCUGAAAUUACUAAUUUAGACAUGGUCUUUCUCGUAAUGAAAAUAUAUUUUUGAAAUCAUUACUUGUUUUUUGUGGUGCUCGUUCCCAGUCUUACACUCGUUUUUCAUAUGGUCUAUUAAGCAAUGAAUUCAGAACAUUGACCACACAUGAAUAUUAAUGGCAAUUAUUAAAACCUGUUUACAAGGUCGAACUUUCUACUGUAUUGAACGCGCGAACGUAAAUUUCUUACAACCAAGACUUGGGCUACUCAAAUUUCAAGUUAGGUUUGAUAUUCUCCAAGAUGCAUCAUUCAAAUCAUGUAAAAAUAUUUAACCAUUCAACUAUUUACUUCAUGUAGAAUCGAUGCUGGAAAUAUUGAUUUAGGUGUUGUUCAACUCACUUGAUGGGACUGGUUUACUUCGUCUCCUGACCACAAAGAACACAAUAAGUCCUCCAACGAUGGAACCAAGUAUACUAAAUACGACCGCUACAGCAAUGGUUUUGGUUUGCUUUUCUGGAAAGAACAAUCAUAAAGUACAUUGAAUAAAUGACUUAUGAACAGUUGGCAUUAGAGUGCAGAGAACACAAGUACCGUGUACUGUAGCUGUAAUAGCUCUUGCAACAUCGAGCUAGCUUACCUUUAAAUCCCUUGUCACACUGGCAGUAAUUAUCAGCGGUUGUCAUGUUGCAGACACAAGUACCGUGGUCGCUACAGCCGCAUGGAUCAAAUCGCGCCAUCCCUGGAAAAGAAGUAAUAACAUUAAGACACUAUGGUAUAACUAUGGAAAAGAGACAUGGAAAUCAUGGAAAUAAGACAACACAAUGCAGUAACAUAUGUUGUGAUGCUCAUGAUUUAAUCCUGAAAUAAAAAUAUAUGAACACGCUC